CCGGUACCUGCGCUUCUUUACACUUGAAUAUUUUGAACGACGUAGACACAAACUGUGACGAACAGCUUGGUGUUGUAUGUGAAGCCGAUCCGCUAUCGGCAAUCUCCACGACUACGAUACCAUCAACAACUGUACAGUACGGUUGCCGAAACUCCUCUUGGCUUCACUAUAACGGCUUUUGCUACGCUUUGGUAAAAAGGAACGGCGAUCAACAUCUAGCUGACUGCGCAUUCAUUCAGAUGGAACUGGCCAGUAUUGAGAGUGAGGAAGAGAACCAUAGGAUUUGGGCGUGGUUGCAAAAAUACAAAAUGAGGCCAAUGAUAUUUUAACCGGAUUACUUGCUAUAUUUGGUCGCUUAAUGUACAGUGAUGGAAGGGAAGCAACCUACACAGUACCUAUCUUGAACCCGUACGCCAGUGGCAUUGCAUUUAUUUCUAUGCAGACGCCGUACAGGUGGAAAAUUACAAUGAAAAUGGAUACAGUGAAACAUAUGUUAUGCAAAAGUGACGAAGAGGUUGUAAGGUGGACUGAUACAACAACGGCAACGACAGCUUCUGCAACUUCAACUACAACCGCAUCAGGAUGGCAAACGCAGACGAAACUAUCGUUCAAUCCGUUACCUGGGCGUCACCAUGCAGACGAAUCAUCAAAUGCAGUAAGCCCUGACAAAGCAUCUGGACUAACACCACGGCAAAUCAUCGGUGUCGCCAUUGACGUUAUUGCAGGGGUUAUCACCCUUUGCGUGUGUGUGUAUAUUGCUCGAAACGACAUCGUGACAUCAGAAAUGUAUCAAACGAAGCUUGUACGGGACUCGUCUAUAGGAUUUGACAAUGCGUUGUUUCAUAAGGACAGAGAAGACAGUGUUAGUCUCCAGUGACAAUGAUAGUCUUCAGUAAACCUCAGUUGAAUAUACUAUAUUGUCUUGGUUCAUUGAUAUUAAUUUGCUCUUGCUUCUUUCAAACGU